rnacentral:lncRNA from 1 species
CAUUAACGCUCCAAAUAACUAGUUUGUUAAUAUUGUAGAUAGAAUGUCCUGUAGGACUUGGCUAUAUGCUUGGCUUAAUCUGAAAAUGGAAGAUGUGGUAUAGUGCAUUUCUGAUCCAAUAGUAUGACCGGUUACAUAACAAUUACUCUACAUGGGGAAACAAUGAGCAUCAUCAUCCCAUGCCAUUUUAACAUGAUUAGAAAUGUACAAACUAGCCUGGAGUUGUUCUGAGUUGAUGCUUUUUUUAGUUUUUAUUAAAUGUUUUCCCUGAGUGUCUCUCUCCUCUUCCACAGCCAAAUUGUAUGUUUUUCCAGUGCAUUAUAUGUGCCCUGAGGCAACUUGGCACCCCUCUUGUUCCUCGGUGGAUGGGUAUCACAUCAGCUGAGGUAUUUCGAUUAGCCCUGAUGGAUAAUUACAGGAACUGGUAUUGCGUUGUAUUUGAGUCAUCAUGUACUGUUGAUUUGUGUAUUAUCUGCACCAGACCUCAACAUAGCUGUUUGACGGACCACAAUGGCUGUGUACUCCAGACACCUGGAUCUCUCCUUGCCUUGACAAUACAGUUUACAAUUAAACGUGAGAAAGACCCAAACAUCUAAUAAUACUUAGCACCAACCAGGAGUUUCUUUGUUGAACUGUUUCUGUUCCUGUUGAGUGUUAUAUCACUGAG